GUGCCAGCCGCCGCGGUAAUACGUAGGUGGCAAGCGUUGUCCGGAAUUACUGGGCGUAAAGCGCGCGUAGGCGGUUUUUUAAGUCAGAUGUGAAAUCCCACGGCUUAACCUUGGAGCUUCAUUUGAAACUGGGAGUCUUGAGUGCAGAAGAGGAAAGUGGAAUUCCUAGUGUAGCGGUGAAAUGCGUAGAGAUUUGGAGGAACACCAGUGGCGAAGGCGGUUUUCUGGACUGAAACUGACGCUGAGGCGCGAAA
rnacentral:rRNA from 1 species